rnacentral:rRNA from 1 species
UACGGAGGGUGCGAGCGUUGUCCGGAAUCACUGGGCGUAAAGGGCGCGUAGGUGGUUUACUAAGCCAGCUGUGAAAUCCCUCGGCUUAACCGGGGAACUGCGUCUGAUACUGGAUGGCUUGAGUUUGGGAGAGGGAUGCGGAAUUCCAGGUGUAGCGGUGAAAUGCGUAGAUAUCAGAAGGAACGCCGGUGGCGAAAGCGGCGAACUGGAUCUCUUCUGACGCUGAGGCGCGAAAGCUAGGGGAGCAAACGGG